rnacentral:ncRNA from 4 species
UACGAAGGGGGCUAGCGUUGCUCGGAAUUACUGGGCGUAAAGGGAGCGUAGGCGGGUUGACAAGUUGGGGGUGAAAGCCCGGAGCUCAACUCCGGAAUUGCCCUCAAAACUGUCAGCCUUGAGUAUGGAAGAGGUAAGUGGAACUCCGAGUGUAGAGGUGAAAUUCGUAGAUAUUCGGAAGAACACCAGUGGCGAAGGCGACUUACUGGUCCAUGACUGACGCUGAGGCUCGAAAGCGUGGGGAGCAAACAGG